rnacentral:rRNA from 1 species
CUAGUAUAGCAAUCUAUACCGUGAAACUGCGAAUGGCUCAUUAAAUCAGUUAUCGUUUAUUUGAUAGUACCUUACUACUUGGAUAACCGUGGUAAUUCUAGAGCUAAUACAUGCUAAAAACCUCGACUUCGGAAGGGGUGUAUUUAUUAGAUAAAAAACCAAUGCCCUUCGGGGCUCUCUGGUGAUUCAUAAUAACUUAACGAAUCGCAUGGCCUUGUGCCGGCGAUGGUUCAUUCAAAUUUCUGCCCUAUCAACUUUCGAUUGUAUGGUCUUGGCUUACAAUGGUUUCAACGGGUAACGGGGAAUUAGGGUUCUAUUCCGGAGAGGGAGCCUGAGAAACGGCUACCACAUCCAAGGAAGGCAGCAGGCGCGCAAAUUACCCAAUCCCGACACGGGGAGGUAGUGACAAUAAAUACUGAUACAGGGCUCUUUUGGGUCUUGUAAUUGGAAUGAGUACAAUUUAAAUCCCUUAACGAGGAACAAUUGGAGGGCAAGUCUGGUGCCAGCAGCCGCGGUAAUUCCAGCUCCAAUAGCGUAUAUUAAAGUUGUUGCAGUUAAAAAGCUCGUAGUUGAACCUUGGGCCUGGCUGGCCGGUCCGCCUCACCGCGUGCACUGGUCCGGCCGGGCCUUUCCUCCUGGGGAGCCGCAUGCCCUUCACUGGGUGUGCCGGGGAACCAGGACUUUUACUUUGAAAAAAUUAGAGUGUUCAAAGCAGGCCUAUGCUCGAAUACAUUAGCAUGGAAUAAUAGAAUAGGACGUGUGGUUCUAUUUUGUUGGUUUCUAGGACCGCCGUAAUGAUUAAUAGGGAUAGUCGGGGGCAUCAGUAUUCAAUUGUCAGAGGUGAAAUUCUUGGAUUUAUUGAAGACUAACUACUGCGAAAGCAUUUGCCAAGGAUGUUUUCAUUAAUCAGUGAACGAAAGUUAGGGGAUCGAAGACGAUCAGAUACCGUCGUAGUCUUAACCAUAAACUAUGCCGACUA